GUUCAUAUAGUUUUAAAUCAAA
rnacentral:tRNA from 1 species